ensembl:lncRNA
CCUUCUCAUUGAAUGGCAUUUCAUACAAAAAGUUAAAUAAUUAUAACUUUCUCCUGUGCAGCUUAUGAUUGGCCACAACGCAAGAAAUAGACACUUCCUUAGUGAUCGUGCGGGCGGAUAAACUCUAAUACAUUCAAAGUCCAUAACGCUUCAGAGUUUCCCUCCUCCAGCGCGCACCACCUUCUGUUUUCAGGAGCUAUUACGUGACUCUCCUCUGGCAGCUUGUGAAAACGAGACCAGUGGACGGUGUGUUUGCGUUGUUAGGGCGAUAGCCAAUGAUGCUUCCCAUAGCGACGCAGCUCGUUUGGGAUUCCCGUUGCUCGCGGUAAAGUCAUCAGACGUUGGUUCAUGGGGAGGGCGGCACACUGUCGCUAACUGUUGUGGCUUGAAGGGUCGACAUGGCAACUCACGGGGUGUCGCGUGACGGCCUGUCACACCAGGGGGACUCACAGGCUAGUAACCAGCAUUACUAAGAAUAUCAAAAGACAGCGGAGGAAUGAACAAGGAAAACAGGAGUCUGCAUGAUUGAAACAAAGUACCCACAUCCCAUUGUCAGAACUUCAGGCCUGCAGGAUCGAACACUCCCCACUGAAGUUUCAAUAAGUAAAU